GUGCUCGCUUUGGCAACACAUAUACUAAAAUUGGAACGAUACAGAGAUUAGCGUGGCCCCUGCGCGAGGAUGACACGCAAAUGUGUGAAGCGCCCCAUGUUUUC
ensembl:snRNA U6 U6 spliceosomal RNA